GGAAUGUCUCCUUCCUAAAGGUUCACAACCUUCCGUAGCAGCAUGACCAGCUGGCCACCAAGUGUCUAGACACACAAGCCUGGGGACCAAAAGUCUCCCAGGGUGUACAGCUUUGCGCAUUGCAAUGUGCGUGAUUUCAUCUACAAACGUGCUGGCAUGCUGAUGGCUACCCUGGGAUGCUUGCAGCUGUGGCCUACCGGUUGAACAGGUCUUCCGGAGGAACUGUGGGUCCUACCACUCUCAGCUCGGAACCUAACUUCUCAGCUCUCACGUGAGCCCCUCCAGCUCCUAAAACCGCCCACACUCCUAACCAUCUCCGGAAGACCUCGGUCCUUCAAAGCGCAACAUAGUUUCCCUCAUCUGUGGGGAUGGCCAGAACCAUUCAGAACAGCUGCAGCCCUAAUGGGACCACACGAUCAUCAGGAUGGGACGCAAAGAGCUGUCAACUGCCAGGUAGUGCUGGGAAGCCUGGCCCUGGACAGCUGGUAAUUGCGUACUCGAAUCAGGACCCAGGUCUCCAGUUUUGGGCAUGCCUGGCCUAGAACCCAGAGCCUCAUACACACUAGUGCCCUCCGCCAUGAAGCUGCAUCCCCAGCCCCACUUGUUGGUGUCGGUUAUGACUCUUCUCUUCAGACUGAACUUCUUAUUCCACAGUGAGACCCCAUGAUUGAUAAGCCCUGGCCAAGGCACUAUGAGUAGCAUACCAUGGGCCACUUCCAGGUGGAGCAUUUCAUCUUGGACCCAAAGUCCUCCAUGUUUCAUAAUAUGUUUUCAUAAAUAUGAAACCUUACCUCUACCACAGCCACCACCAAUGUGUUAGAUCAGGGCUACUUCAUCAGCCAGACCCAAGGUAAAGACAAUUAAUGUGGCUGGCCCAAAGCUGACUCAUGCUGAUUCAUAACACAAACAAAAAGAUAAUUUCUGAUACAUACACCAAAAUGUUUGUCAUCACAGCAUGACAUAGCUUAUAUGUAACUGUCACCAACUUCACAACCAGAGGUGUGGGCAGGGUUUUGAGGCUCAGCACUUCUGUGGGCACUAGAUGCUGGACCAGAUACCUGGGCAAUACAAAUGAAGUCCAAAGGGUAGCAUGCAAGCCUGAGACCUUUCUCUUAUGCCAUGGGGAUCACAAGGGAUGCCCGCAGGUGGUUGCCUUCUUUGAAAGAAGAAAUAAGGCAAAAGAAAACAGAGGACUGUAGAGAUAACUCAUCUGGCAAAGUAUUUUCUUUGUACCAAAACAUCAAAGUAUUUUCUUUACAAGCACAAAGACGUGAGUGAAAAGUCCAGUAUCCAUGAAUAAAAAGAAG